rnacentral:rRNA from 1 species
UACGGAGGGUGCAAGCGUUAUCCGGAUUCACUGGGUUUAAAGGGUGCGUAGGCGGGCAGGUAAGUCAGUGGUGAAAUCCCCGAGCUUAACUUGGGAACUGCCGUUGAUACUAUCUGUCUUGAAUGCUGUGGAGGUAAGCGGAAUAUGUCAUGUAGCGGUGAAAUGCUUAGAUAUGACAUAGAACACCAAUUGCGAAGGCAGCUUGCUACACAGUUAUUGACGCUGAUGCACGAAAGCGUGGGAUCAAACAGG